rnacentral:rRNA from 1 species
CCUACGGGAGGCAGCAGUGAGGAAUAUUGGUCAAUGGGCGCGAGCCUGAACCAGCCAAGUAGCGUGAAGGAUGACUGCCCUACGGGUUGUAAACUGCUUUUAUAAGGGAAUAAAGUGCGGCACGUGUGCCUUUUUGUAUAUACUUUAUGAAUAAAGGUCGUGUAACUCCGUGCCAGCAGCGGCGGUAAUACGGGGGAUCCGAGCGUUUUCCGGAUUUUUUGGGUUUAAAGGGAGCGUAGAUGGGGUGUUAAGUCAGUUGUGAAAGUUUGCGGGUCAACCGUAAAAUUGCAAUUGAUACUGGCAGGCUUGAGUACAGUCGAGGUAGGCGGAAUUCGUGGUGUAGCGGUGAAAUGCUUAGAUAUCACGAAGAACUCCGAUCGCGAAGGCAGCUUACUAAGCUGCAACUGACAUUGAUGCUCGAAAGUGUGGGUAUCAAACAGGAUUAGAUACCCGUGUAGUC